UAAUCGGGGGAGAGAUCCCAGUGAUGCGUCCCAGUGACCACGCCCACCGAGAGCCAUGUGAUUAAUGAAGGCGGCCAAAAGCGGGUUUCUUGGUUUUUGGGAUGGAGUAUAAAGGGAAACGGUCUCCAUGACGAAUCAUCACCUGGACCGACAGCAGCCUGUAGUCUGCCGGACUGUGACCUACGACACACACAUCACACCACGUCUGAGAGUCUUCAGGUGUGUGAGGAGGUGGACCCCCUAAACCUGCAUUAAAUGACUGACAGACAACGC